UAGUCGAACGACCAGAACUAUGUCUGGAAGUGGCACACUGCUCAGUAACACGUAGCUAACUACCCUUAGGACGUGGAUACCCCCGAGAAAUUGGGGUUAAUCCGCGAUAGGUGUAAUGUCCUGGAAUGGUAUUACGCCUAAAGGUGUAUCAUACAUGUUUGAUAUACGCCUAAGGAUGGGGCUGCGGCCGAUCAGGCUGUUGGUGAGGUAAUGGCUCACCAAACCUUUGACCGGUACGGGCCAUGAGAGUGGUAGCCCGGAGAUGGACACUGAGACAAGGGUCCAGGCCCUAAGGGGCGCAGCAACCGCGAAACCUCCACAAUGCACUCACGUGCGAUGGGGCUAUCUCGAGUGCCACCUGAUGAAGGUGGCUUUUCCUAGGUCUUCAAAGCCUUGGGAAUAAGAGGGGGGCAAGACUGGUGUCAGCCGCCGCGGUAACACCAGCCCCUCGAGUGGUGGGGAUGAUUAUUUGGCCUAAAGCGUCCGUAGCCGGCCGAGCAAGUCUUCCGUUAAAUCCAGCGUCUCAAGCGUUGGACUGCGGGAGAUACUACACGGCUAGAGAGUGGGAGAGGUCAGCGGUAUUCUGGGGGUAGGGGCGAAAUCCUUUGAUCCCCGGAGGACCACCAGUGGCGAAGGCUGCUGACUAGAACACGUCUGACGGUCAGGGACGAAAGCUGGGGUAGCGAACCGGAUUAGAUACCCGGGUAGUCCCAGCCGUAAACGAUGCAUGCUAGGUGUUGGGUUGGCCACGAGCCACCCCAGUGCCGCAGGGAAGCCGUUAAGCAUGCCGCCUGGGAAGUACGAUCGCAAGAUUGAAACUUAAAGGAAUUGGCGGGGGAGCACCACCAGGCGUGAAGCCUG
rnacentral:rRNA from 1 species